ACAGGAAAGCCAAAACCUUUUUUCUUUCGUCUCUUUUCUCCUUCUUCUCUCUCUGUUCUCCUUCUCCAUCUCUUUGUUCAUCAGAAAAACCUCUGCAUAAUCAGUUGACGAAACUAAUCGAGCUCAUCUUCCUAAAUCUCUCAGAAAAAUCGAAGUGGACAUUUUUUCCAAACAAGGUUAGGGUAAAUCACUCUACACUCAAGGUUAUUUUGGCGGUGAGAGUUAAUCACUUUUUGGAUAAAUAGAACCCUGUAGAUUAAACAUCCGUAUUGGUAUUCUUUAUAUUUAUGAUUUUGCAGUGGCCGAUCAUAAAAGAACCAUGAGGUAAUUAAUUACAAAACACACUUCGUCAUUAACACGCCACUGUAUUCUUCUUGAAAUUCUGUUUUAAGUAUGUUUUCAAAACACACGUUACAUAAUCUGGGUAAUAAGAUGUCACACUCCAGUUACAAUGCAAGGUCAACAUAUACAAUUUAAGUUUCUAGGUUUAAUCGGUUGCACAGUGUGCAAAUGGGUUGUUUACAGAAGAAAUUCUUAGACGAAGUUGAAUAUUUCAGCCGAACGUGAUGGCAAGCUGAACGUGAUUGUUUAUUUUGGUGACUUACCGGUCAACUUGCUAUGCCUGCUUUGAAUUAAGCCGAUAAUGGUGUCAAGUUUGUUCCCCUCUUUUCUGGCGUCAGAAGGAAUUUUUCAAAAGAAACCUAUCAUCUGGAUGGAAGUGUCUAUAUGGAAUUCAAUGGUUGGUCAGAUACGUAGCACACCAAAGAACUUUUAAUGCUUCUUGCAAUUUGUCGAUAACAUCUUAUCAUUAAACGUUUUUGUUACCACCUCAAUAUCAUUAUUGCUUCAACUUUGACCCCACCUGGAAAUGUUUAUGCUUGAAAAGAGCACACACCAAAAAUGAUCGUAAUCUUGCGCAAUACCGAGUCGUUGCAUCUGUUCUGCAUCAUUGUAUCUGUCCUGCUUAUUUUGGAUUGCUGUAAUUUUUAUUUUGUUGGUUUUUGGUCUGCGCUUAUUUUGAUCACUCUUGACAUUGUUUUUGAUUUGCAUUUUUGAUUGAUCAUUUCAAAUUAAUUGGGUCUGUGUAA